rnacentral:tRNA from 1 species
GGGGGGACAGCUCAGUGGUAGAGUACCUGCCUAGCAUGUACAAGGUCCUGGGUUCAAUCCCCAGUACCUCCU